rnacentral:rRNA from 1 species
ACGAACGCUGGCGGCAGGCCUAACACAUGCAAGUCGAACGCCGUAGCAAUACGGAGUGGCAGACGGGUGAGUAACGCGUGGGAACAUACCCCUCGGUUCGGAAUAACUCAGGGAAACUUGUGCUAAUACCGGAUACGUCCGAGGUUUUAAUCGACCUUGGAGAAAGAUUUAUCGCCGGAGGAUUGGCCCGCGUCUGAUUAGCUUGUUGGUGAGGUAAUGGCUCACCAAGGCGACGAUCAGUAGCUGGUCUGAGAGGAUGAUCAGCCACAUUGGGACUGAGACACGGCCCAAACUCCUACGGGAGGCAGCAGUGGGGAAUAUUGGACAAUGGGCGAAAGCCUGAUCCAGCCAUGCCGCGUGAGUGAUGAAGGCCUUAGGGUUGUAAAGCUCUUUUACCCGGGAAGAUAAUGACGGUACCGGGAGAAUAAGCCCCGGCUAACUUCGUGCCAGCAGCCGCGGU